GACAGAGGGGGCAAGCGUUGCUCGGAAUCACUGGGCGUAAAGGGCGCGUAGGCGGGAUGGCAAGUCGGUCGUGAAAUCCUUCGGCUCAACCGAAGAACGUCGGCCGAUACUGCCGUUCUUGAGGGAUGCAGAGGAGAUUGGAAUUCCCGGUGUAGCGGUGAAAUGUGUAGAGAUCGGGAGGAACACCGGUGGCGAAGGCGGGUCUCUGGGCUUCUCCUGACGCUGAGGCGCGAAAGCGUGGGGAGCAAACGGG
rnacentral:rRNA from 1 species